ensembl:lncRNA
CGCCUGAGGAAGCAUAUGCCGGGAUAUGAGACUUCUGUGGGGUGGCUUUUCUUUUCUGGCACACAGGCCAGGAUUUCUGCGCAUGUCAAGCUUGCCCUGCGGGCACUCGUGGGAAGAGACAUCACUGUGUCGGACAUCCGCACAGCUCUAGCAACCUACGUAAGCAUGAUUAAAAUGUUUUUUAACAAAUUCAUUCCAAUGUGUUAAACGUUAAAGUGAUAGAGAAAUGUCUCCUGUUCACAGUGCGAACGCAAAAGACGAACAACGCAUGCUCGUGACCAAGACGAUGUGCUACAGCAAUUAGCUGAGUCGUGGAGCUGUCGGUCAGCGAGGCGCACUCCGCCCAGUCUGCGCUAGAGUCCGCUGCGGGCAUAGGUGCCCAUCGUCAUUCCUUCUUCUCCCCUUUUCUGGAUCUGGACACUGAUUAUCAGCUUGCGCAUCUAACUGCUGUUAUCAUGGUGCUACUUAACUAUCUUCGCAGCACCCCCUCUGGAAAUGGAAAUGCGCAGCCAAAACCCCCCCCCCUCCAGCUUUCAGUCUGAGGAAGAUGUCACCUCUCUGACCUGGUCCCCGACCAUUCUUCCCACUUCUCACCUGCCAGUCCGCCCCACUCUCAG